rnacentral:rRNA from 1 species
GAUGAACGCUGGCGGCGUGCCUAAUACAUGCAAGUCGAGCGAACAGACGAGGAGCUUGCUCCUCUGACGUUAGCGGCGGACGGGUGAGUAACACGUGGAUAACCUACCUAUAAGACUGGGAUAACUUCGGGAAACCGUAGCUAAUACCGGAUAAUAUAUUGAACCGCAUGGUUCAAUAGUGAAAGACGGUUUUGCUGUCACUUAUAGAUGGAUCCGCGCUGCAUUAGCUAGUUGGUAAGGUAACGGCUUACCAAGGCAACGAUGCGUAGCCGACCUGAGAGGGUGAUCGGCCACACUGGAACUGAGACACGGUCCAGACUCCUACGGGAGGCAGCAGUAGGGAAUCUUCCGCAAUGGGCGAAAGCCUGACGGAGCAACGCCGCGUGAGUGAUGAAGGUCUUCGGAUCGUAAAACUCUGUUAUUAGGGAAGAACAAAUGUGUAAGUAACUAUGCACGUCUUGACGGUACCUAAUCAGAAAGCCACGGCUAACUACGUG